AACUCUAGAACAGGGGUAGGCAACCUUUGGCACCCCAGAUGUUUUGCCAGCAUUAUGGUAUAUGUAGUCCACAAAACCUGGAGUGCCAAAGGUUGCCUAACCUUGCUCUGGGUCA